rnacentral:rRNA from 1 species
AUUGAACGCUGGCGGCAGGCUUAACACAUGCAAGUCGAACGAGUGGCGGACGGGUGAGUAAUGCUUGGGAAUCUAGCUUAUGGAGGGGGAUAACUACGGGAAAAUGUAGCUAAUACCGCGUACCAUAGGAUGAGCCCAAGUGGGAUUAGGUAGUUGGUGAGGUAUAGGCUCAUCAAGCCGUCGAUCUCUAGCUGGUCUGAGAGGAUGACCAGCCAAACUGGGACUGGGACACGGCCCAGACUCCUACGGGGGGAGGCAGUGGGGAAUAUUGCGCAUUGAGGGCAACCUGAAGAAGCCAGGCCGCGUGAAUGAAGAAGGCCUUCGGGUGUUAAAGUUCUUUCGUUAGCGAGGCGUUAACGACAGAAGAAGCACCGGCUAACUCCGUGCCAGCAGCCGCGGUAAUAC